rnacentral:ncRNA from 1 species
CUUAUCAAGAGCGGUGGAGGGAACGGCCCUGUGAAGCCCGGCAACCUGCGUGUGCAAGGUGCCAAAUCCGGCGGUGAAACGAAAGAUGAG